rnacentral:tRNA from 1 species
AAAUAAGAAACAAUUAUUUGUAUUUAGUUUCGACCUAAAAGUAUGAUGAAAAACCCAUCCUUAUUUU